rnacentral:rRNA from 1 species
CCUACGGGAGGCAGCAGUGGGGAAUAUUGGGCAAUGGGCGCAAGCCUGACCCAGCAACGCCGCGUGAAGGAAGAAGGCUUUCGGGUUGUAAACUUCUUUUCUGAGGGACGAAGAAAGUGACGGUACCUCAGGAAUAAGCCACGGCGAACUACGUGCCAGCAGCCGCGGUCAUAUGUAGGUGGCAAGCGUUAUCCGGAUUUAUUGGGUGUAAAGGGCGGGUAGGCGGGGAAGCAAGUCCGAUGUGAAAACUCAGGGCUCAACCCUGGGCCUGCCUUUGAAACUGUUUUUCUGGAGUGCUGGAGAGGCAAUCGGAAUUCCGUGUGUAGCGGUGAAAUGCGUAGAUAUACGGAGGAACACCAGUGGCGAAGGCGGAUUGCUGGACAGUAACUGACGCUGAGGCGCGAAAGCGUGGGGAGCAAACAGGAUUAGAUACCCUUGUAGUC